rnacentral:tRNA from 2 species
GCCCCCGUAGCUCAGUUGGAUAGAGCGCCGGCCUCCGGAGCCGGGUGCGCAGGUUCGAGUCCUGCCGGGGGUACCA